AACAGUAAGUACAGUUACGUGAAUCUAGCUUUUCUGGUGUCCCCAAGCGUUCAAACAGCUUUUUUGGUAAAAUGAAUCCUGGGAAACUAAAAGUACCCCUACCUUUUGCGUUUCCUGCUGCCUCAGUCCCUCCAGUUUGAGUUAGUUUUCCUCUAGAGGCUUUGGAGGGAAAGUUUUCCUCUUGCCACACUCACCUUGAAGCAGGACGUAAUGGAUUGCCGUGGCUUUCACUAUGCAUCUUGUCUCAAUACAGGCCUUCGGGGGACAGGCCUGCGACAUUACCCAGUCUACAAAGGCAGAUUGAAUAUGAAAGCCUCAACCAUCACAUCAAGCCACAGAUCAAUCAUAGCCACCACACAGAGAAA
rnacentral:lncRNA from 1 species